UAUUUUCGUCCUCCCUCCCACCUCCCACGUCCCAGCGAUUCCCCUUGGACCCGCGAACUAACAAAAAAAAUAGCUAUGCACCCACGAUUUCCAGCGACAAACCUCCUGUCAAUCGAGAAAAAAAUGGUGUGAAAAAAUCUACAAAAAUUAACCUAUGAAAAUUAACCAGACGCUCGCCCGUAUGAGCGAUUUCUCGUGCCCUCGAAGCACUCGCACGCAUGAGUCGUUCGCCGCACGCAGUGAAAAAAACAGCCAGCGAGGCUCCCCUCGAUCUAUUUCCUACGAUCUCUCAAGGACGCCCCAGCCCCCGAGACGAGCCGCCGCCGAGAUCCGAGACGAUCCGCCGCCGCCGAGGACCGAGUGGAGCCGCCGCCUCCACGUCGCCGCCGCCGGCGCUGGCCAGGCUCCCCACCGAUGGGCGCGCCGGGUCGCCGCUCCUCGAGGCCAGUUCCCCUCGCUGCUCCAGAUCGCGCCUCGGUUUGUGAUCCCUUGGGGAUCCUGCCGGUCCGCCGCCGCCGAGGACUGAGUGGAGACGUCGCCUGCACGUUGCCGCCGCCGGCGCUGGCCAGGCUCCCCACCGAUGGGCGCGCCGGGUCACCGCUCCUCGAGGCCAGUUCCCCUCGCUGCUCCAGAUCGCGCCUCGGUUUGUAAUCCCUUGGGGAUCCUACCGGUGCUGGAGGCGUCCACGAUGGUGCGAACUCAGGACCGAGCGGUGGGGCACGUCAUGCGUUCUGGUUGAGAGAUUGGUCGGGCUGGCGUGGGAACUGAACUGCCGUCGAUGGAUUUUUUGGUAGCUUGGCUGCAUGUUGCUUCAGAUUUAGUACUACCCCCAUCUCUCUCUCUCUCUCUGUUUGUGUGUGUGUGUGUGUGGGCGCGCGCGCGAAGCAGUCGAUCUCUAAUUGCCGACUGCCGACUCAUCGCCCCAAUGGCCGUCGCAUCAGUUCCAUACCGCUACAGCACUGCCAGCCACCGUUGUUGUAUUGCCUUGGAUUCAGUUGUGGCUUCGGCUGGAACUGUACGGUGUUGUCUGAUGCCCUGGUCCAAGCGGGUUUGGUCCGCUGAUGCCAGGUAUGCGAUGCUCUUGAGCCUGGGUACAUUAUGCAGCAAAAGAUGUGAGUGUUGGGCUUGACAUGAAGACAAAACUGAGUCCUCUUUUGCUACACUACAUAUACUCAAUGUUUCACAGUUGAGUUGCGUUUUGUUUUGGAUUUGGUACAAUCGUCAUCACACUCUCUUUCUCAAACACUAAACCAAAUCAGUUGCAUUACAUUUUACCUCAAAUCUUUGUCUGCGGUCACUUAUAGGAUUAGAAGUUUGAAUGAGCACAAUCUCAUUAAUUGAAUUUGUACCAAACUUGAUCGGUAACUUUAUUUUAAUAUUUUGCUGGCCGUCAUUUGCUCUAUUUGUUUAUUUAUUUUUCCUAGCAACUAUGUGCUGUUACAAGCUUCAUUCUGAAUUUUGAUGUAAAUCUCCUGUUCCCAGGUCCACCAUGACAUCAAUGCAUCAUUGUCCCGCUAUUUCAUUACACGGGAGACUAAUCAUAAUUUACUGGCAAUCAGCUAAUCAGUGACUGUGGUGAUGUUCUCAUCAUCAAGGCACUGCAAAUAGGUGUUCGUGUAAUUAAAUUAGACAUGUGGCCAAAUUCUUCUAAAGAUGACACUGAUAUUCUCCAUGAAAGUACUGAAUAUGACUUCCGCUGACAGUACUCAUAUUUAUGCUUCCGUUACUGAAAUCUUCGUGAGUGUGGAUCCUAUAUGAUUCUCUUCAUAUAAAAUACUACUAUUUUGGGAAAGGCAUCUAGCUGAGUUUUAAUAGAACUCUUCAGUGAAAAAUAUUUCUAACGGUGUUAGAACGACAACUGACAAGGACUGCCACGAUUAGAGCUACCAUUUGGCCCCAUGUUUCAGUAUGCAGUCAAGCAUGCAAUAAAGGUAAUGACGGGGCAUUUUGUAGUUUCGGGUAGUGCAUGUAGUUUUGGCCAAAUUGUAUGUUACAGUUAACAUCGUAGGAGAUUGGAAUUCUGAAUUUGGAUGCUUCAAUGCAGAUCAAAGAAGUAGAAUACUCCCUCCGAUCCAAAUUACUUGUCGUUGAAAUAGAUGCAUCUAUAAUUGACAUACAUCUAAGAUACAUCCAUUUCAGCAACAAGUAAUACAGAUUGGAGGGAGUAUCAAUUUUGCUGUGUUGAAGUCGUUAUGGAGGUGACAAGGAAUCUAUAUUGCUCUGUAGAUGACGACAUUGUGCAUUGCAAUAUAUAUUGCCCUGUAGAAAAAUACAUUUAUGUGGAGUAUGCUUCAGGUAAUUCACCAAUGCAUUUGUUUCAUCAUUUCUUUUUGACUAUUAACUGCGUGAGCAAGUGUCUAAUAAUAGAAAAGUUCCCCAUUGGGUCGCUACUACAACUAAAUGGGCUUGUGAAUAGUUGUAGAACGUACUCUAUUUUGUUCCCCAUUGAAGGGCAAUGUUCCUGUUGGUCUCUCGAAAGAACUGAAAGAAAUGCAGCCUUGACAAUUGAAUGCCCACAUUCCUUGUUGGAGAUCAUAGAGCUAUAUACAUUCAUGAGUUAUUAUGUUGAUGCACACUGCAUUGCAUUUACUAAACUUGUUUUCUUCUUACCAGAUUCAGUGGUAAUGUAAUUUUGGUCGGGCAGGGGUUUGUGAAGAAAACUAGCAAGGUUCAUAGAUGCACCCAGGUGGAAUACUUACUUUCCAAAUGUCAAGUAUUUUUAAAAAAUUAGACAUAUAAAUGUCUGAGUCCUUUGUGUGCUUGUCAAAUAUCAUGCAAAAAUGAUAAGGAGGACGAGGUUAUGAGGUAAUGUGCUCGGGCGGGAGGAAGAGGUACUGGUUCAACCCAUGAAAGUUCUUAGCUCAUAAUUGCUACCAAUUCUACAGAAAAGGCUGUGAUUUUGUUAACCUAACUAGAGCUUUCAUGUUAUGUCAGUCCUUUAUUUAGAUGAUUUAGCUGUUGACCUACCAUUCCUUUCUAGAUGAUUACUUGCAGUUCUUUUACUAAGGCAGUGCAUCUAGGGUUUCUUUACUUGCUCACUGACCAUUCAGUUCAAUGACGGCCAAUGCGGUAGAAUCGAGGCUACAACUCUGGCACUUCAAAGAGGAAAAGAAAACAUGACUACUUCAUGGCGAGAGAAGAGGAGGGCAGCGAGGAGCGAACAUGGGGAUGGGUGGCUGGGGCGUUUCUUGCACGAGGAUGGGGAAAUUGGAGUUAUCCAAGACCGGAAAUGUCCCUGUUGCUCUUAGGAAUGAUACUUUAUUUUUCAGUCAUUUGUUUUUUCCACUCAAUCACGGUUCACUGUUACUCCAAGUAAGAACUGCGAUUUUGCAAAGAGUAAGCCAUUUCUUGUGAAUCUUGUAAGUUUCUGCAUUUUGUAGUUCAAGAGCUCCUGGUUUGCUUUGGCCUCGAUCCAAACACGCUGUUAGAUUUUCAGUCCAUGGGCUCGAUAAAUCGAGAUCGAGAUCGAGAGACGUCAUAGACUUUCAACCCAUGGCCUCAGUAGAUCGCAGUUCAAUGGGGAGAGUAGUUAGGUGGCGGCGGCGGCUCCGGAGCACGAGUGCGACAGCGGCUACAGAGCAUGAGCGGGCAUGGACUGGGGACUAGAACAUGGAUGUGGAAGCUGGAGCGACAUCUAUGGUGCGACACCGUGUGGCGGUUGUCCGAGGUGUUGUCGAUGUGGAGCGGUGCCAUUUGGAGUGAAGCCUAGCAGCCUAAGAUGGCAGGCUGGUGUCAAUGCCGCUAGGGGUGGUGCCGAUUGAGGCGCUGAGACGAGGUAGCGAUGUAGGGGUCGAGAGUAGCUGCUGUAUGUGUGUGUCCCCUCCAUUGAUUUGUGACCAAGCCCACGGGAAAUCUAGCCAGCAACUGGUCAUGUCUUUCUGAAUUGUGGAGUCUUUCGCUGAGGCCAUGCAUUGAGAAGGUGAUCUUCUGAUGCAUCUAUCAUCUAUGGGCUAAAAAUUUGAAUUAUCAACAAGUAUGGUGAUAGCCAGCGUUACUGUGAUCUCCAAAGAACAAUAACUAUGCAACAUAGUGCUGAACUUUGACAUUUUCGUUCUGUUAUAAGUUUCCUUUUAAUAUUUCAUAAUUUAUAUUUAAUUAAUCUUUCUAUUAAUAUUUGGUUUCACUAUAGUAAAUUUAUUUGAAGGUCUCCAUGAUGGCAUAAUUCUAUGUAGACUGAUGUGUCGAUUAUUUUGGCAUGCAUUUAUUUGCCCAACAUUACCUAGAUACUUAGUGCCAUUACAAUGACAUCCUGUUUUAUUUCAAAAAGUGAUUGCUCCAUCACAUACACAUUAAAAGAAAUUGCACAACUGCACCAUGGCUAUCCAGUAUAUCAAGGAAGAUUAAUCUAAACAUACCUUACAGCUUCUCAUUACUCCCGUCGAAGUAAUCUAAACAUGUUCUUAAUGGCGACAAAUUUGAGCAGAAGAUAUUCUUAAUGGCAACAAGUAACUAAUUCUUUCGUUUCUAUGGAAUAUGUAAAUUCAUAUGCAGGUAAGCAGGUUAAUCUAAACAUGCCUUACAGUAUCCCAUUACUCUUGUUGAAGUUUUAUACUGUUAGAUUUCACCUUUGUUUGUAUUAAAUAUCUGAAGUAACGGAGCUUGAUUUUCAGUUUU